rnacentral:rRNA from 1 species
UACAGGCUUAACACAUGCAAGUCGAGGGGCAUCAGGAAGAAAGCUUGCUUUCUUUGCUGGCGACCGGCGCACGGGUGAGUAACACGUAUCCAACCUGCCCUUUACUCGGGGAUAGCCUUUCGAAAGAAAGAUUAAUACCCGAUAGCAUAAUGAUUCCGCAUGGUUUCAUUAUUAAAGGAUUCCGGUAAAGGAUGGGGAUGCGUUCCAUUAGGUUGUUGGUGAGGUAACGGCCCACCAAGCCUUCGAUGGAUAGGGGUUCUGAGAGGAAGGUCCCCCACAUUGGAACUGAGACACGGUCCAAACUCCUACGGGAGGCAGCAGUGAGGAAUAUUGGUCAAUGGGCGCUAGCCUGAACCAGCCAAGUAGCGUGAAGGAUGAAGGCUCUAUGGGUCGUAAACUUCUUUUAUAUAAGAAUAAAGUGCAGUAUGUAUACUGUUUUGUAUGUAUUAUAUGAAUAAGGAUCGGCUAACUCCGUGCCAGCAGCCGCGGUAAUACGGAGGAUCCGAGCGUUAUCCGGAUUUAUUGGGUUUAAAGGGAGCGUAGGUGGACUGGUAAGUCAGUUGUGAAAGUUUGCGGCUCAACCGUAAAAUUGCAGUUGAUACUGUCAGUCUUGAGUACAGUAGAGGUGGGCGGAAUUCGUGGUGUAGCGGUGAAAUGCUUAGAUAUCACGAAGAACUCCGAUUGCGAAGGCAGCUCACUGGACUGCAACUGACACUGAUGCUCGAAAGUGUGGGUAUCAAACAGGAUUAGAUACCCUGGUAGUCCACACAGUAAACGAUGAAUACUCGCUGUUUGCGAUAUACAGUAAGCGGCCAAGCGAAAGCAUUAAGUAUUCCACCUGGGGAGUACGCCGGCAACGGUGAAACUCAAAGGAAUUGACGGGGGCCCGCACAAGCGGAGGAACAUGUGGUUUAAUUCGAUGAUACGCGAGGAACCUUACCCGGGCUUAAAUUGCAGUGGAAUGAUGUGGAAACAUGUCAGUGAGCAAUCACCGCUGUGAAGGUGCUGCAUGGUUGUCGUCAGCUCGUGCCGUGAGGUGUCGGCUUAAGUGCCAUAACGAGCGCAACCCUUAUCUUUAGUUACUAACAGGUUAUGCUGAGGACUCUGGAGAGACUGCCGUCGUAAGAUGUGAGGAAGGUGGGGAUGACGUCAAAUCAGCACGGCCCCUACGUCCGGGGCUACACACGUGUUACAAUGGGGGGUACAGAAGGCAGCUAGCGGGUGACCGUAUGCUAAUCCCAAAAGCCUCUCUCAGUUCGGAUCGAAGUCUGCAACCCGACUUCGUGAAGCUGGAUUCGCUAGUAAUCGCGCAUCAGCCACGGCGCGGUGAAUACGUUCCCGGGCCUUGUACACACCGCCCGUCAAGCCAUGGGAGCCGGGGGUACCUGAAGUACGUAACCGCAAGGAUCGUCCUAGGGUAAAACUGGUGACUGGGGCUAAGUCAUA